rnacentral:rRNA from 1 species
CUACGGGAGGCAGCAGCAGGGAAUAUUGCGCAAUGGGCGAAAGCCUGACGCAGCAACGCCGCGUGGGGGAUGACGGCCUUCGGGUUGUAAACCCCUUUCGGGAGGGAAGAAAUUGACGGUACCUCCUAAAGAAGCCCCGGCCAACUACGUGCCAGCAGCCGCGGUAAUACGUAGGGGGCAAGCGUUGUCCGGAAUCAUUGGGCGUAAAGAGCUCGUAGGCGGCUCAGUAAGUCGGCUGUGAAAGCCCGGGGCUCAACCCCGGAACUGCAGUCGAUACUGCUGUGGCUAGAGUCCGGUAGAGGAGAGUGGAAUUCCCGGUGUAGCGGUGGAAUGCGCAGAUAUCGGGAGGAACACCAGUAGCGAAGGCGGCUCUCUGGGCCGGUACUGACGCUGAGGAGCGAAAGCGUGGGGAGCAAACAGGAUUAGAAACCCUUGUAGUCC